rnacentral:rRNA from 1 species
GAUGAACGCUGGCGGCGUGCCUAAUACAUGCAAGUCGAGCGAACGGACGAGAAGCUUGCUUCUCUGAUGUUAGCGGCGGACGGGUGAGUAACACGUGGAUAACCUACCUAUAAGACUGGGAUAACUUCGGGAAACCGGAGCUAAUACCGGAUAAUAUUUUGAACCGCAUGGUUCAAAAGUGAAAGACGGUCUUGUUGUCAAUUAUAGAUGGAUCCGCGCUGCAUUAGCUAGUUGGUAAGGUAACGGCUUACCAAGGCAACGAUGCAUAGCCGACCUGAGAGGGUGAUCGGCCACACUGGAACUGAGACACGGUCCAGACUCCUACGGGAGGCAGCAGUAGGGAAUCUUCCGCAAAGGGCGAAAGCCUGACGGAGCAACGCCGCGUGAGUGAUGAAGGUCUUCGGAUCGUAAAACUCUGUUAUUAGGGAAGAACAGAUGUGUAAGAAACUGUGCACAUCGUGACGGUACCUAAACAGAAAGCCACGGCUAACUACGUG